rnacentral:miRNA from 1 species
GCACAGCAGACACAGACAG